rnacentral:rRNA from 1 species
AACGAACGCUGGCGGCACGCCUCAUACAUGCAAGUCGAGCGCGAAACCACCUUCGGGUGAUGUAGAGCGGCGAACGGGUGAGUAACAGGUGGGUAAUCUGCCCUUUGGCGGGGGACAACAGCUGGAAACGGCUGCUAAUACCGCAUGUGGUUGUAUGUUUAUGACGUACAAAGAAAGGCGCCUCAAAGCGCCACCAAAGGAUGAGCCCGCCCCCCAUUAGCUAGUUGGUGAGAUAACAGCCCACCAAGGCAUCGAUGGGUAGCCGAGCUGAGAGGUUGAUCAGCCACACUGGGACUGAGACACGGCCCAGACUCCUACGGGAGGCAGCAGUGGGGAAUAUUGGACAAUGGGCGAAAGCCUGAUCCAGCCAUGCCGCGUGAGUGAUGAAGGCCUUAGGGUGUAAAGCUCUUUCAGUAGGGAAGAUAAUGACGGUACCUACAGAAGAAGCCCCGGCUAACUUCGUGCCAGCAGCCGCGGUAAUACGU